GCAGUGGUAGUUCAGUGGUAGAAUCCUCCCCUUCAGUGUGGGCGACCCAGGUUUGAUUCCUGGACAACGCA
rnacentral:tRNA from 1 species